rnacentral:rRNA from 1 species
AGCGAACGUUUGCGGCGGGCCUAACACAUGCAAGUCGAACGCACUAGCAAUAGUGAGUGGCGCACGGGUGCGUAACACGUGGGUAAUCAACCCUUCAGCUUGGGAUAACGACUUGAAAGGGUCGCUAAUACCGGAUACGGCGCGGGAGGCUUCGGCUUCUCACGAGAAAGCCUCGCAAGGGGCACUGAAGGACGAGCCUGCGGCCCAUCAGCUAGUUGGUGAGGUAAGAGCUCACCAAGGCGAAGACGGGUAGCUGGUCUGAGAGGAUGAUCAGCCACACUGGAACUGAGACACGGUCCAGACUCCUACGGGAGGCAGCAGUGGGGAAUAUUGCGCAAUGGGCGAAAGCCUGACGCAGCCACGCCGCGUGAGCGAUGAAGGCCUUCGGGUCGUAAAGCUCUGUGGGGAGAGACGAAGAAAGCCCGUGAAGAGCGGGCCUUGACGGUAGUCUCCUUAGCGAAGCACCGGCUAACUCCGUGCCAGCAGCCGCGGU